CUUAAUGAAUCUUAGGCCCAAUACACGUGCAUCCAAGGAGUGAGUCAUCACCAUAAUGUUCAUUUCAUGUUUGUACUCAGCUCAACUCAACGUGUUUUACUCCUUGGCCUGAGUCUUAAGCUCCACAGCUCGGUGAGUGUUGAAGAUUGACGAAGAUGACGCUGAACAAGAAAACCUUGGAAUCCAACCGGGUUUGCUUGGCUUGACAUGAAAAUUUGAUCAAGGUAUGAAAUCAAGGCAUGAACCAAGGGACAAGUGAUGACACAUCACACAAGUCAUGAUAAGGCUUGAAGAUCAAGAUGAGGUGGUUUAUGCAAGAAGAAUAAUCAUGGGGCUUAGGGUUUAGGAAUAGGUGGUUGACUUUGGUCAACUUGUUGACCAAAAAAUCAACAGUUGAUCAAAGUCAAUUGUUGGUCAAAAGUUUUUUUUUCUUCUUUUUUUGUAUUUAUUUUCAUGAUUUAGAUUUUGUAAUAUGGUUUGGUGUUUAUGUAAUGAGAAUGGCUCUUUUUUGAAUGAA